ACCUCAUCUACACAGUCCUUCUCUAUGGUUUCUGAUCAGUGCUUUGAAGGCAGAGAAAAAGAGCCAUGAGCCAAGGGUUGUGGGUGGCCUCCGAGAGCUAGAAUAUCCUAAUCUGACAGCCAGCAAGGAAAUGAGGACUUCAGUAGAAUAACCACGUGGAACUGAAAUUUACCAACCACCAGAGUGACCUUGGAAGUGGAUUCAUUCUUAGAACUCCCAGAAAGGAAUACAGCCUGCGUGACACUUCUAUUUCAGUACUGUGGCACUCUAAGCAGAGGACUCCACUGAACCACACUGUAUCCAUAAACAAGAAGUCUUUUAUGCAGCUGGUGUUUAUGGGAAUUGGAAAUUUUGACCUGUACAGCUGUGAGAUAAUAAAUGAGUGCUGUUU
rnacentral:lncRNA from 10 species